AAAUGCGUUAAGUAAUGUGAAUUGCAGAAUUCAGUGAAUCAUCGAAUCUUUGAACGCACCUUGCGCUCCUUGGUAUUCCUUGGAGCAUGCCUGUUUGAGUAUCAUGAAAUCUUCAAAGUAAAUCUUUUGUUAACUCAAUUGGUUUCUACUUUGGUAUUGGAGGUCUUUGCAGCUUCACACCUGCUCCUCUUUGUUCAUUAGCUGGAUCUCAGUGUUAUGCUUGGUUCCACUCGGCGUGAUAAGUCAUCUAUCGCUGAGGACACUGUAAAAGGUGGCCAAGGUAAAUGCAGAUGAACCGCUUCUAAUAGUCCAUUGACUUGGACAAUACUUUUAUGAUCUGAUCUCAAAUCAGGUAGGACUACCCGCUGAACUUAAGC
rnacentral:misc_RNA from 1 species